GAUGAACGCUGGCGGCGUGCCUAAUACAUGCAAGUCGAGCGAACAGACGAGGAGCUUGCUCCUCUGACGUUAGCGGCGGACGGGUGAGUAACACGUGGAUAACCUACCUAUAAGACUGGGAUAACUUCGGGAAACCGGAGCUAAUACCGGAUAAUAUAUUGAACCGCAUGGUUCAAUAGUGAAAGACGGUUUUGCUGUAACUUAUAGAUGGAUCCGCGCCGCAUUAGCUAGUUGGUAAGGUAACGGCUUACCAAGGCAACGAUGCGUAGCCGACCUGAGAGGGUGAUCGGCCACACUGGAACUGAGACACGGUCCAGACUCCUACGGGAGGCAGCAGUAGGGAAUCUUCCGCAAUGGGCGAAAGCCUGACGGAGCAACGCCGCGUGAGUGAUGAAGGUCUUCGGAUCGUAAAGCUCUGUUAUUAGGGAAGAACAAAUGUGUAAGUAACUAUGCACGUCUUGACGGUACCUAAUCAGAAAGCCACGGCUAACUACGUG
rnacentral:rRNA from 1 species